rnacentral:rRNA from 1 species
UUAAAAAGCUCGUAGUUGGAUUUCUGCGGGGGCGGGGCGGCCGAACGCUUAUAGCGUUUCGAGCUAGCACUUCCCCUGCAUCCUGCCGCGAACCGUGCUACCAUUAGUUUGGUGGCGCCGGGGAUCGGCUCGUUUACUUUGAGAAAAAUAGAGUGUUCAAAGCAGGCCACACGCCUUGAAUAAGUUAGCAUGGAAUAAUGAUAAAGGACUUCGGUUCUAUUUUGUUGGUGUUCGGGACUGAAGUAAUGAUUGAUAGGGACAGUUGGGGCGGUCCGUAUU